rnacentral:rRNA from 1 species
UGGGGAAUUUUGCGCAAUGGACGAAAGUCUGACGCAGCAACGCCGCGUGGGUGAUGAAGGUCUUCGGAUUGUAAAACCCUGUCGUCAGGGACGAAGGUGCGCUCGUGAAUAGCGGGUGUGCUUGACGGUACCUGGAAAGGAAGCCCCGGCUAACUCUGUGCCAGCAGCCGCGGUAAUACAGAGGGGGCAAGCGUUAUUCGGAAUUAUUGGGCGUAAAGGGCGCGUAGGCGGUUUUUUAAGUCGGAUGUGCAAUCCCUGGGCUCAACCCAGGAACUGCAUCCGAGACUGGGAGGCUAGAGUACUGGAGAGGUUGGUGGAAUUCCUCGUGUAGCGGUGAAAUGCGUAGAGAUGAGGAGGAACACCAGUGGCGAAGGCGGCCAACUGGACAGUAACUGACGCUGAGGCGCGAAAGCGUGGGUAGCAAAC